rnacentral:rRNA from 1 species
AGAGUUUGAUCAUGGCUCAGGACGAACGCUGGCGGCGUGCCUAAUACAUGCAAGUCGAGCGAAUCUUGAGGUGCUUGCACCUCUUGGUUAGCGGCGGACGGGUGAGUAACACGUGGGCAACCUGCCUGUAAGACUGGGAUAACACCGGGAAACCGGUGCUAAUACCGGAUAAUCCUUUUCCUCACAUGAGGAAAAGCUGAAAGUCGGUUUACGCUGACACUUACAGAUGGGCCCGCGGCGCAUUAGCUAGUUGGUGAGGUAACGGCUCACCAAGGCGACGAUGCGUAGCCGACCUGAGAGGGUGAUCGGCCACACUGGGACUGAGACACGGCCCAGACUCCUACGGGAGGCAGCAGUAGGGAAUCUUCCGCAAUGGACGAAAGUCUGACGGAGCAACGCCGCGUGAGCGAUGAAGGCCUUCGGGUCGUAAAGCUCUGUUGUUAGGGAA